UACGGGAGGCAGCAGUGGGGAAUAUUGCACAAAUGGGCGCAAGCCUGAUGCAGCCAUGCCGCGUGUAUGAAGAAGGCCUUCGGGUUGUAAAGUACUUUCAGUCGUGAGGAAGGUGUUAAGGUUAAUAACCUUAGCAAUUGACGUUAGCGACAGAAGAAGCACCGGCUAACUCCGUGCCAGCAGCCGCGGUAAUACGGAGGGUGCGAGCGUUAAUCGGAAUUACUGGGCGUAAAGGGCACGCAGGCGGUUAAUUAAGUUGGAUGUGAAAUCCCCGGGCUUAACCUGGGAAUGGCAUUCAAGACUGGUUAGCUAGAGUCUUGUAGAGGGGGUAGAAUUCCAUGUGUAGCGGUGAAAUGCGUAGAGAUGUGGAGGAAUACCGGUGGCGAAGGCGGCCCCUGGACAAAGACUGACGCUCAUGUGCGAAAGCGUGGGGAGCAAACGAGGGAUUAGAUACC
rnacentral:rRNA from 1 species